AAGGACAGAAGCAAGGAAGAGGAGGUGCAGCCAGGAUGGAGGUGUCCUGACGGUGUUGUGGGGUCUCUGCAUGGAUCAGGAACAUGCUUGGAGUUUCACAGUAACCUGUGAACCACCUUAUCUGCCAGAGCUGAGCAUCCUGUGCAGGAAGGCCACUCCUUGGCAGGGUUAUGGAGCAGCCUGGCAGAUGAACCAGUCACUGCCAG
rnacentral:lncRNA from 12 species